rnacentral:rRNA from 1 species
GACAGAGGUGCCAAGCGUUAGGCGGAAUCACUGGGCUUAAAGCGUGUGUAGGCGGAUGCCUAAGUACCUUGUGAAAUCCCACGGCUCAACCGUGGAACUGCCUCUCAUACUGGGUAUCUCGAGUUCGAGAGAGGUGAGUGGAAUUGCGAGUGUAGAGGUGAAAUUCGUAGAUAUUCGCAGGAACACCAGUGGCGAAGGCGGCUCACUGGCUCGAUACUGACGCUGAGGUGCGAAAGCGUGGGGAGCAAACAGG